UAUCCAUCCAUAAUAAUUCCACCUUACUUACACAGUUUUUCAUGACACUAUACUCCUCUACUAGAUUAAUUUAGUUAGGAAGAACUUGAAAUUAUUUUUCACCCGAUUUUCUAGGGAAAUUUGUUCGUGGUUUGAUCUUAAGUGCUUGAAAAUUCGGAGUGAGGUAGAUCUAUAACUUUCUCCCAUAGUGCAUAUUCUUAGAGAAAAUUUGGCAACAUUUAAAAGCUCCUACAGCGUAUCUCUAGCCUAAGUAGUUAAAGCAUCUUAUACGAAAAGGUCAUUGAAGAAGAAACACUUUGAAAUUAAAAUCUGCUUCUUACCAUUUUAGCGUGAAGUGACUGCGAAAAAAAAACGCCUUCAAUGAAUUGAAUAGGCACACCGAGCCCCUAGAGGCUCGAAUUGUGGUAUCACGCCAAACAGCACAUUUCUAAGCAAUCCAGACUUCCCUGAUGCAAGUUUUAAGUCGGGACAAUGGCAGCAUUGGAAAGUUGGUAACAUACCAGGUACAGAUAUUGCAAAA